rnacentral:lncRNA from 1 species
AUGGAACGAAUUUCAGUCUUGCUGCUGUCCUGUAUUAUCUGGGCCCUGCUGAACCACUGCGGUGCGUUGCCUCGUCCACGGUGUCCAGACAUAUCGCCCAGUCUGAAUAAGGCCAUACGGAACCUCGUGGGCAAAACUGAGACGCUGACGACAAUAUACAUGAUCAAUCAAACUUUCACAAAGGAAGACUGCAUGAGAGGGAAAGGCCUUCAGGACAUCUGCGUUUCGGCCUGUGACCCUGAAUGUGACAACAACCGCACAACAUGCGCCUUCCGGCAGUACCUGGAUAUCAUCACCACCUACCAGGACAACCUUGGCAACGACAGAAUCGUGGCUGGACUCCGAGAGAUCAGGGCGCUCUUCAAUCUGGAGCUGAUGUACAGCAAGUCGUGCAGUGACUCUCUGGAUUUGCGCGUGGAGGAGCACGAAUUUGACCAGAAGCGGCAGACGCUGCGAGUGCUUAUUGAUUUCCAAGGGUGGCUGAGGAAGAUGAGUGCUUAAAUAAACCAGGCAGGACGAGCCUCACUAAAAGCCUCAUCCUACAAAUGAACACCACGCGAUUACAGUUGUUGAAAAUGUUAACUGACGUUUUGUAAGUUGCUCAAUAGUUCUUUUUAUUUUUUAUUGAAUAAAU